rnacentral:tRNA from 2 species
GCGGGCGUCGUAUAACGGCUAUUACCUUGGCUUCCCAAGCCAAAGACGUGGGUUCGACUCCCAUCGCCCGCUCCA